GUGUUCAUUUCUGCAACACACCUGCCAGAAUUGGAACAGUAAGAGAAGAUAAGCAUGGCUCCUGCACGAGAUGACACGCAAACUGUGAAGUAUUCCAUGUUUUU
ensembl:snRNA U6 U6 spliceosomal RNA